AACGUAGGUACCGAGCGUUAUCCGGAUUUACUGGGCGUAAAGCGUGUUCAGGCGGCCUGGCAAGUCGGGCAUGAAAUCUCUCGGCUCAACCGGGAGAGGCUGUCCGAUACUGCUGGGCUUGAGGACGGUAGAGGGUGGUGGAAUUCCGCGUGUAGUGGUGAAAUGCGUAGAUAUUCGCAAGAACACCAGUGGCGAAGGCGGCUCACUGGCCCGGUACUGACGCUGAGGUGCGAAAGCGUGGGGAGCAAACAGG
rnacentral:rRNA from 1 species